rnacentral:rRNA from 1 species
CGACCGCUGGCGGCGUGCUUAACACAUGCACGUCGAGCGGUAAGGCCUUUCGGGGUACACGAGCGGCGAACGGGUGAGUAACACGUGGGUGAUCUGCCCUGCACUUCGGGAUAAGCCUGGGAAACUGGGUCUAAUACCGGAUAUGACCUCCUAUCGCAUGGUGGGUGGUGGAAAGAUUUAUCGGUGCAGGAUGGGCCCGCGGCCUAUCAGCUUGUUGGUGGGGUAAUGGCCUACCAAGGCGACGACGGGUAGCCGACCUGAGAGGGUGACCGGCCACACUGGGACUGAGACACGGCCCAGACUCCUACGGGAGGCAGCAGUGGGGAAUAUUGCACAAUGGGCGAAAGCCUGAUGCAGCGACGCCGCGUGAGGGAUGACGGCCUUCGGGUUGUAAACCUCUUUCAGCAGGGACGAAGCGCAAGUGACGGUACCUGCAGAAGAAGCACCGGCUAACUACGUG